AAGUAUUUUUACUUCGUUACUAUACAACACUGAUCAAGUCUAUAAGUUAGUACAAUAUUCAUCUAUUUGUACUUUGGAUGUGUAAAGGUGCACUUUUGUGCACUAUAUACACUUUUCAGUGCAGUGCCACAUUCUUCAUGUAUGCGUAUGUGGUGGGAUGGUGUUCCACCCUCCCAACUAUGUGCACCAGGUGUAUCAAGUAGCGUGCAGUUGAUUGGUGGGCGGGGCAAAUAGCUUUAUAGCUGAGCAGGCCGCUGCGAGGUGUGUGUCUUUGUUUCCUCUACUACAUGACGGCUGCCCAAGUGGCUGGUGUGCUUGAUCCGCUCAUCUGAAUUCGUUGCUCGGCUGGCGUUAGCGGCUGCAGCUGGAGGUUGUUGCGGCGUGCGGCUUCCAUCUAGCCCUCGCUUGCUGAUCCGCUCUCUCCCUGGGUCGGCUGUGCUACUACUGCUGGGAUUGUUUGGAGUUGCAGCGCUUGGACGCUCUGCUGUCUUGUCUUAUUGUUUGUUUGGGCCGCUCUGAAGGCAACCUGUUGCUGAUUGGACAGGCUGAGCGAGCGGGGCAGGACUCCUCUGGCCCAUUUGAAGGGCACUGGAAUUGGACAACGACGAUUUGUUCCACCGUUUAAAGUGUUUGUGUUUUUUCCUUUUACAGUUUGUUUGCUUAUUAUUGAACUUACUAAUGAGUUUGCUUUUUUGUUUUGAUUUACUAAUUUGUUUUCUUUGGCAUUACAUGUUUUGUUUGUUCAUUUAUUUUUUUGGAAUAAUUCAAGUUGUCAUUUUUAUUUCACAUGAUCCCUUUUCAUUUCCAGGGACAGAGUAGUGGGCCCGAAGCCUUGCUUUUAAAAAGAAAUGUUUUAAAUGAAAUUGUUUAAAUAAAAUAUUGUGAACUAUUCUGUGUUCCGGUGCAUCUUGUUUUAAAAAGAACCCCCCUGCCGGGUCACACGUAUACAUACCGUGGCUUUGUUUUUUACUACCUAGUGUGGAUUUGAGACCAACUGAAUAUAUAUUUACUACUUUUAGAAAAUUUUCUGAUGAAGAGCAGCUGGUUCGAAGAGGGAGAACUGGAAGAGGCAGAGUUUCAGUGGAUGCUGGGGAUCCUGCUGGGACUCCUGCUUUGAGUGCGAGGCCCCGCAGUAACCUUUUCUUUCUAAUUUCUAGUAAUAAAAAAAGGGAAAAACAAAAUGCCAGGCGGCAUCUUUUGAGGCAUAGCUGUGAAAGGGUCAACUGUUUAAACACAGCUUUUCCAGAUUGUUAUUGUCCAGAGUGUUGUGUGUUUUUUUUUUUUUUACCACAUUCUAAAAUCCUGACUGUUUGGUUAAUUUGAUCCUAGGUAAGAUAAAUUAUUAUUUCUUUUUCCAAUCCUGCCCCCAUGUGGACGAAAUAUUACACACAGUAACGUAUUAUAAAACACACCAGGGCAAACAAAAUUAUUAUUAUUAUUAUCAUUAUUAUUAUAUUAAACCACCGAUUAAAUGAAUUUCUUUCCAGUCAUGAAUUGAGACUGAAUCAUGUUUAAUGUUUACACAUUCUAUUGUUCGUUUUUAUAAAUGUAAGUUUGUUGCCAUUUUAUCCAUUUUUUUUUUUUCAUUGAAAGAAGAUGCGUAGUAAAGUCGGACUACCAGCAGGUGGCAGCAUGUUGUAACUCAAUGCAUUCCAUUGCAACUCGCCAUUUUUAGCUCGAUUGAGUUAAGUGACUAGAACGAUUCAAAGAUGCAGAAUGCCGGACGGAUCUAACCGUGGUCGACCUCACUAAGCUGGAGAAUGCUGUGGAAGGCUACACAACUGAGAUCAGCAACUUUAAGGAGAAAGUCUCAGUGACUGAAUUUACUCCAGAAACCUUCCAGAACAACGAGAAAACGUAAGUUUUACACUGGACUGCCCAGCGUUUCAGCUCUGUGAAACAUACAUCAGCAUGUCAUCAUUGUCAGCUCUCUCCAAAUUUGAGCAAUUUAUUGUGAUACUUAUGUGUCUCAGAUUGAAACUACAACUUCAAGGCCUUGCGUAUUGAUUUAAUGUGUCAAUAGCCACUGUGUGUCUCGAAUUUGUCAUAGAAUGAUUCGUGUUCUCCAUGAAAGACUAGAAUUCUCAAUAGAGUGGCCCGAGCGAGAAGUAAUUCAAUCAACUAUGCCCAUGUCAUUUGGAAAGGCCUCUGUUUCCCAGAGCUGAUCAUUUGGCAGAAUUCUUUCCAUAUGAAUAUCAUUUUCACUCCAUACUACAAAAUCACAAUCUUGCACAUCCACCAGGUGAAUCUGAGCCUGGACCUAAUAGUAAUGAGGAUGAUUCCUAUCGUGUUGCUCAGAAUCUCCAUUCUUGAUGAGACAAAAGCCAGGCUGUCCAGCACACAUCCUCAGACUGACUUCAUCCUGUUUGCUCUGUGGACACUAAAGGACAAGACGAUGAAAGUUAGACAGGGAAAACACUCUUCAAAACACUGGAAUAUGACUUUUUUUUUUUUAAGAUUGUGUUUCACUUAUUUCACUAAUCAACAACAAUGCUAGAAAGUGAGAGUAUGUUUAUAUCUGUGGAUGAACCAGGUGUGUUCCACUGUUAAGAAUGUUUUAAUCUGGACUGAGUCUUACAAGGUGAUGGAAACGUCAGACUAUUUUCUUUUAACUGGGGGGAAAAAAAUGUCCCACAGAAAGCAAGACCACCCUCAAAAUUACAGCUGGAUGUUGCGAGGUAUGCUAACAACGCAAUAAUUUGAAGAAAAAAUGAUAGUUGUAAUAUUCAUAGUUUGAGGUGCUCAAAAUCUGCAAUGCAGCAGUCAGAAUUUCUCUUUUUACCUUUUUUUUACACACCGCGGCUCCAUGACAGUCACAUAAAAUCUGGUGCGGCUCCUGUCUAUGGCCACCUUGAGUUUUACCGCAGUCCAAGCAGGUCCACACACUGGAGUUGUGCAUACUGUUUUUGAAUUUACAGCUAUAUCUGGAAUAGCAGUGAAAUGUAUUUAACAAACAAAUUUACAUUUCAUUUAGUUCUGGUGGAUAACAUGCACUUAUCUGAGUUUAAAUACUCAGAUAAAUUAAAACUGCCCUCAAAUACUUCCAUGUGCAAAUGUUGCUCCUCCCUUACCUUUCCCUAACACAUAACACCUUACUGCUGCAGUAGAUAACUUUUGUGUUUCUGAUUAGCAUGUAGACUUGAUCAAAGCCUUGGAUGGUUUUUCUUGACUGCUCUGUAAAGCUUGUUUAAGCUUUUCUUGAAUACUAUUAUAUAUAUAUAUAUAUGCCUAUGUCAUUCCCACACUCCACAGAGGAGUUCAUUUGGUUUUGGUUCUAAACCUGCCGUAUCAGACUGAAUUUACUGAACAAACAAAUCUGAAACUUUACAGCGACUAAAACAUAAAAUGCGAAGAAAAUGGCUGAAAGUCAGUGCUUGUCUGCGCAUAAGACCUGUUUGAGACUGAAGCAAGAAAACAAAGUUUCACAAGUUUGUGGAAAACCUUAGAAGAAAAAUUGAGCGUCUCAAUACUGUAGUAGGGAAAAUAACGAGACGAAAGACGUGCAAGCAGAAAACGAGACGGUCCUGGUGGAAUGGACGAGCUUUAGGGCUGCUGGUGAGUUUUUUUUUUUUUUGUUCAUUCCAAAUUUGUUGAACCAAAACUUUAUAAGAAGUUUAUUAGUAAUAUAUUUGUAUAGUCAUAGCUCAUUCAGAAUAAAUAUUUGAUAUGACAUACCUUAAGUUGCUGAAAACCGAUGCAGGAUGCAAUUGAUGAAAUCUUCACCCAAAUACAACAUUUUGUCAAAAGAUAAAAGUCUUCUUCUGGCCAGCGGUUGUUUGUGUUCACAGGGCUGCUGCACAACGGCCCCCCGGGGGCGAGCGAGGAGCAAGGAGUGGACCGCAGCAGGUUGGAAACGCGGUGGAGACAAUACUGAGCCGAACACAGUAGUUCCUCCUCCGGGAUCUGGCUGCCAUGAUUCCAAUUGGAGAACAAUUUUUACCUGUGACUGAGGACAUUUUGUAGAUAUUUUAUUGUACAGAUUUGAACAAAAGUCAACAGAACUUUUUAUCCCUGGGAAUAAAAUUGUUUGUUUAAAUCAAA